CAAAUUGAGCUGGUAAUGUCAGAGUCAACAAGGGUUACCAUAUCUUGCCUCUGAAAGAGAGCCCAAGUGUCUUGUGAUGCCUGUACAAAACCUUUUCCAUAUGCAGCUAUCUGCGCGAAGGCCCAGCCAUUGCCAUAUGUGAAGAUGCACUCCAUGACUCCAAGACAGCAAUGAGCACAAGAAAACAUGAAUUCAUCCUCUCCCUCGAGCAAAUUCAGACCCCGAGCAACGAUUCUCAGUGCUUCAAUUGCUGGCACAAAUAGAGAUCCCAGACAAGCACUUCCAAGAUUCCGAGUUACAGCUCUUUGGAAGCAAAAUUUAGUAUUUGCUUGCAUCCCUCUGAGAUAAUACAGAGAGAUUACC
rnacentral:misc_RNA from 1 species